rnacentral:misc_RNA from 1 species
AACGCACAUUGCGCCCUGUGGUAUUCCGCAGGGCAUGCCUGUUCGAGCGUCAUUUCAACCCUCAAGCCUAGCUUGGUGUUGGGCCCUGCCCGUUGCGGCCGGCCCUAAAGUCAGUGGCGGCGCCGUCUGGCUCUAAGCGUAGUACAUCUCUCGCUCUAGGGUCCUGCGGUGGCUUGCCAGAACCCCCAACUCCUAUGGUUGACCUCGGAUCAGGUAGGGAUACCCGCUGAACUUAA